UCAGAAUUUGUUUCAUCAUCAAAUCUAUCCUAUUAUCUAUUGCGAAUUAAAAAUCCAUUUCAAAUGUAUUGAAAAUUUGCGUGUUCGGUUGAGGUAAAUAAGUACAAAACCAAAAGCUUUUAGUUUUUUCGAUCUUUGUAGUGGUACACUUUAACAUUAAUUAAAUGCGUAGGCAUUUGUCAGCACUCCGAGACAGAUAAACCGACUGUUUGCACUUGUGGGUUACUGAGGUCAACUUGAUUCUAUGUGUGUAUUAAAAUAUAUCCAUGACUCAGGAGAAACCUACAUAAUAUAAAUAGGCGUAGAUACCGCCGAACAAGUCAUUCGAAGCAAAUACAAGUAUUAAUAUUGUAAAGUCGUUUCUCACACCGUUCCGUCGCCAUGAAUUCUAAGUACGCGGUUUUGGUAUGUUUUUUGGUUUUGGCGUUCGCUUUCAACGGCGUGAACGCUUAUUGUAACCCGGAUGAUUGUUGGGGUCUAUGCCGUAGCCAGUACAGUGGGUCGUUCUCAGAAAUUCGAGGAGUAUGCGAAUCUUCCAACAAUGACUAUUGUCGGUGUUAUGGUAAAUUCUUUAAUCCAGUAAUCCUAAUGCCUGUGAAUCCCGAGAAAAAGCUCAAUUGAAAAAUGCUCAAGACAUCGUCUUAAACAUCUACAUCAGUUCAACGAUAAAACUUCAAAAAUAAUGUCAAAAUUUCAAAACAUUGCAAAGUAGUAACUCUUUUGUAAUACUAUUUAUGUUAGCUUUUAUGUGUUAUACAUUAAAGGCAACUAAAUAAAUGUAUGUGUAGAUAACAAAUAUAGAUUUUUACAAUAAACUUAAAAUAUUAUAACUGAAAA